GUACACUCCUACGGGAGGCAGCAGUGGGGAAUAUUGGACAAUGGGCGCAAGCCUGAUCCAGCCAUGCCGCGUGAGUGAUGAAGGCCCUAGGGUUGUAAAGCUCUUUCACCGGUGAAGAUAAUGACGGUAACCGGAGAAGAAGCCCCGGCUAACUUCGUGCCAGCAGCCGCGGUAAUACGAAGGGGGCUAGCGUUGUUCGGAUUUACUGGGCGUAAAGCGCACGUAGGCGGACUAUUAAGUCAGGGGUGAAAUCCCGGGGCUCAACCCCGGAACUGCCUUUGAUACUGGUAGUCUUGAGUUCGAGAGAGGUGAGUGGAAUUCCGAGUGUAGAGGUGAAAUUCGUAGAUAUUCGGAGGAACACCAGUGGCGAAGGCGGCUCACUGGCUCGAUACUGACGCUGAGGUGCGAAAGCGUGGGGAGCAAACAGGAUUAGAUACCCGGGUAGUCUCA
rnacentral:rRNA from 1 species